GCCUGAAAGGAACUUCUGGGGCUAGAAAAAGACAAAACAAAACAAAACAAAAAAAGAAACCAACAAAAAACUAUGUCACCCAGCAGGUAGAGCAUGACAGGUGACAGACGACACACCCAGCUUCCAGCUAAGGUGACCCUUAACGACAUUCCCAAAUCUGGGGCAGCUGUAUCUCCUUGCUUUUCCCAACCAAGUUAUCUGACACUCAAGAUUCUGUGAUCUCAGAAGAAUUAUGACUGCCCAGUCAAAGGAAGUGUUGAUAACACCACGCCCUGCACUUUCCACCUGAGCAAAUAUCACCAAGCCCUCCCUCAUGUGCGCCAUCUGCCUUGAAUUACCUCGGAAAUGGAGCUGAGAUUCCAGGGGUCCUGGCCUUGAAGAGAAUCUAAUCCAAGAAGACAAGCGGAACCGAGAAGCCUAUGAAGACUUAAAGUUGGCAGGAAAAAAUUCACAGCUAAUUUGGGGGAUAAACAGAAAAGUGGUUCUGCAAAAUGUGAACACAUUUUUCCA